AGAGUUUGAUCAUGGCUCAGAAUGAACGUUGGCGGCGUGGAUUAGGCAUGCAAGUCGAGCGGCAAGGUUGUUUUCGAAUGACCCUAGAGCGGCGGAAGGGAUAGGAAUUUAUAGGUAACAUGCCUCUUAGGUCUGGAUAGCGUCUGGAAACGGACGAUAAUACAGGAUGAGGUCUUCGGACCAAAGGUGGGAUUCCCCUAGGAGAUUGGCCUAUAACCUAUUAGCUAGUUGGUAGGGUAACGGCUUACCAAGGCGAUGAUGGGUACGGGGCGUGAGAGCGUGACCCCGAUCACUGGGACUGAGACACUGCCCAGACGCCUACGGGCGGCUGCAGUCGAGAAUCUUCGGCAAUGGACGGAAGUCUGACCGAGCGACGCCGCGUGUAUGAUGAAGGUCUUCGGAUUGUAAAAUACUGUCGAUAGGGCGGAAAUUUAGGAGGGCCAUCCCUCUUAUUUGACCUAUCUUUUGAGGAAGGACGGGCUAAGUUCGUGCCAGCAGCCGCGGUAAGACGAACUGUUCUAACGUUAUUCGGAAUCACUGGGCUUAAAGGGCGCGUAGGCUGUUUGUUAAGCGGGGUCUGAAAUCCCUCGGCUCAACCGAGGAACUGGGCUUCGAACUGGCAGACUAGAGUGAAGUAGGGGUAAGCGGAACUUGCGGUGGAGCGGUGAAAUGCUUUGAUAUCGCAAGGAACACCGGCGGCGAAAGGCGGCUUACUGGGCUUCAACUGACGCUUAAGCGCGAAAGCUAGGGUAGCGAACGGGAUUAGAUACCCCGGUAGUCCUAGCCGUAAACUCUGAGCGCUUGUU
rnacentral:rRNA from 1 species